rnacentral:tRNA from 1 species
GGGCGGUUAGCUCAGUGGUAGAGCACAGCAUUCACAUUGCUGGGGUCACAGGUUCAAGCCCUGUACCGCCCACCA